rnacentral:lncRNA from 1 species
UAUUUAUACUAGAUCAUCACAAUGGUUGAUGAUUCUCUUAGGCCUUAACCAACUAACAACUUCCUAACUGACUCUAAUACACUUUAACAACCUAGGUGAAACAAAACUAACUGAAUCUAACAAACUCUAUUAACAAACUUCACUAACAAACUAACUAACUUGCUUAAGAAGCAAUUAGUUACACCUUCACUUUUGCUAGCUUGCACACCAAGUCAGCUUAUGCACAAUAUGAAUUAACCAUCUAGAGUCCUCUUAGAUUCAACA